rnacentral:rRNA from 1 species
ACCCGCUGAACUUAAGCAUAUCAAUAAGCGGAGGAAAAGAAACCAACAGGGAUUGCCUCAGUAACGGCGAGUGAAGCGGCAAGAGCUCAGAUUUGAAAUCUGGUGUCUUCGGCGCCCGAGUUGUAAUUUGAAGAGGAUGCCUCGGUUGCAACCCCGGCCUAAGUUCCUUGGAACAGGACGUCGCAGAGGGUGAGAAUCCCGUACGCGGUUGGCGGUUCGCUUCCAUGUGUGGCUCCUUCGAAGAGUCGAGUUGUUUGGGAAUGCAGCUCAAAAUGGGUGGUAAAUUUCAUCUAAAGCUAAAUAUUGGCGAGAGACCGAUAGCGCACAAGUAGAGUGAUCGAAAGAUGAAAAGCACUUUGAAAAGAGAGUUAAACAGUACGUGAAAUUGUUGAAAGGGAAGCGCUUGCAAUCAGACUCACCUGCGGUUGAUCAACGUUCCUUCUGGUUCGUGCACUCUGCCGUUUGUGGGCCAGCAUCGGUCGGUGCGGCGGGACAAAGACUUUGGGAAUGUGGCACCUCUCGGGGUGUGUUAUAGCCCUUUGUGUAAUGCCGCCAGCUGCCGACCGAGGUCCGCGAUUCGUCUAGGAUGCUGGCUUAAUGGUUGUAAGCGACCCGUCUUGAAACACGG